rnacentral:rRNA from 1 species
UACGUAGGGCGCAAGCGUUGUCCGGAAUUAUUGGGCGUAAAGAGCUCGUAGGCGGUCUGUCGCGUCGGUUGUGAAAACACAAGGCUCAACCUUGUGCCUGCAAUCGAUACGGGCAGACUAGAGUACUGCAGGGGAGACUGGAAUUCCUGGUGUAGCGGUGAAAUGCGCAGAUAUCAGGAGGAACACCGGUGGCGAAGGCGGGUCUCUGGGCCGAUACUGACGCUGAGGAGCGAAAGCGUGGGGAGCGAACAGG